GUACUGAGACACGGACCAGACUCCUACGGGAGGCAGCAGUGAGGAAUAUUGGACAAUGGGAGCAAUCCUGAUCCAGCCAUGCCGCGUGCAGGAAGACUGCCCUAUGGGUUGUAAACUGCUUUUAUACAGGAAGAAAAAGCCCGACGUGUCGGGUGUUGACGGUACUGUAAGAAUAAGGAUCGGCUAACUCCGUGCCAGCAGCCGCGGUAAUACGGAGGAUCCAAGCGUUAUCCGGAAUCAUUGGGUUUAAAGGGUCCGUAGGCGGGACAAUAAGUCAGUGGUGAAAGUCUGCAGCUCAACUGUAGAAUUGCCAUUGAUACUGUUGUUCUUGAGUGCUUGUGAAGUGGUUAGAAUGAGUAGUGUAGCGGUGAAAUGCGUAGAUAUUACUCAGAAUACCGAUUGCGAAGGCAGAUCACUAACAAUUCACUGACGCUGAUGGACGAAAGCGUAGGUAGCGAACAGGAUUAGAUACCCUGGUAGUCUACGCCGUAAACGAUGGUUACUAGCUGUUCGGACCAAUUGAGGUCUGAGUGGCUAAGCGAAAGUGAUAAGUAACCCACCUGGGGAGUACGUUCGCAAGAAUGAAACUCAAAGGAAUUGACGG
rnacentral:rRNA from 1 species